UGUUGUAGUUAUGGUUGUUAUGGGUACGUUGAUGAUGUUAUUGCUAUUGAGUUGGUGCUGAUUGAAUAGAAUUAUUGGUAAAUAUCGGAAUAACUGAUGAUACUUAUUAAUGCUGGCGAGAUCGGGGAUUUUUCCUCACAUGAGGCCUCUUUUGCCUCCCUACAAACACUGGAUUGACUUCUCUCUCCUUCUUCUUGGAGAAACUACCACCAUACUUCUUGUUGUAGACACCUCUUCCUUG
rnacentral:lncRNA from 1 species